AUGGCAUCCAGGGCCCUUCCCAACACCCCAUCCAGGAUCAGGGCAGCCAGAGGCACUAGGACAGCCCCAGAUGCAGGCACCAGGCACCUCCCUGGUGCCAGGCCUGGGCCAGGCCAGGACAUAGGCUCAAGGGUGGGCCUGGCUCAGCAGGGGCCUCGGUUGGGCAGGACAGGGCCGUGGGGAGCUGGAGAUGGGCCCUGUUGUGGCCUUGCUGAAGCAGAAAUAGACCUGUUCCAGAUGGUUUUAGCCAGUAUUAAAUGCUUUGCAAGAACCUUCAAGAAGCAUCAUAGAGGAGAACUAUUGAAUUAGUUCCCCUUCAGCAUGAAUUUACCUUUUUCUGGAAGGGACAAAGGAAGAAAGACAAACAUCUUCAAAUCAAAAAAUAAACAAUAAUACACCUCACUGAAG
rnacentral:lncRNA from 1 species